CCUACGGGAGGCAGCAGUGGGGGAUAUUGCACAAUGGGGGGAACCCUGAUGCAGCGACGCCGCGUGGGUGAAGAAGCGCCUCGGCGCGUAAAGCCCUGUCAGCAGGGCAGAAAAUGACGGUACCUGAAGAAGAAGCCCCGGCUAAAUCAGUGCCAGCAGCCGCUGGAAUACGUAGGGGGCAAGCGUUAUCCGGAUUUACUGGGGGGAAAGGGGGAGCAGACGGCGAUGCAAGCCAGGAGUGAAAGCCCGGGGCCCAACCCCGGGACUGCUGUUGAAACUGCGUGGCUGGAGUGCAGGAGGGGCAGGCGGAAUUCCUGGUGGAGCGGUGAAAUGCGUAGAUAUCAGGAGGAACACCGGUGGCGAAGGCGGCCUGCUGGACUGCAACUGACGUUGAGGCCCGAAAGCGUGGGGAGCAAACAGGAUUAGAUACCCGGGUAGUC
rnacentral:rRNA from 1 species